rnacentral:ncRNA from 1 species
AUGGUGGAGUCUCUCAGUCUCACUGAGCUAGUGAUCGGUGUCUUUAACCUCCAUGUAAAUCUGUGUGCAAGUGCUCAGUAUACCCAUACAUAGUUCAAUGUUCAGUUCACAGUAACCCCAGAUACUAGCUGACAAGCGAGAUGAUUAAGGUAUUUUUCAAAAAUUUCUGCAGCUGACUGCUUCUGCUUCCCUACCCCGGCUCCUCGCCUGCUCGAGAGUUACACUUUCGGGGAGGCUACAGAAGCGAGAAGAACAAGACAAAAAAAAAGAAAGAAAGUAUGGCGGAGCUCGAGUGACCUGCCAUCGGAGGGCCCCUGCCGGCUGGCCCAGCGCCGGUGUUCAGGCAGGAGGAUCCUCUGGCCCCGCGGGUCCCCACACAUCCAGAACACCUUGGUCGCUUUGGUGACUCUAGAUAACCUCGAGCCGAUUGCUGGCCCUCAAGGCAGCGACGUCUAUUCGAAUGUCUGCCUCAACUUUCGAUGGUACUUUCUGUACCUACUAUGGUGACCACGGGUAACGGGGAAUCAGGGUUCCAUUCCGGAGAGGGAGCCUGAGAAACGGCUACCACAUCCAAGGAAGGCAGCAGGCGCGCAAAUUACCCACUCCCGACUCAGGGAGGUAGUGACGAAAAAAAAAAAAAUACAGGACUCUUUCGAGGCUCUGUAAUUGGAAUGAGUACACUUUAAAUCCUUUAAUGAGGAUCAAUUGGAGGGCAAGUCUGGUGCCAGCAGCUGCGGUAAUUCCAGCUCCAAUAGCGUAUCUUAAAGUUGCUGCAGUUAAAAAGCUCGUAGUUGGAUCUCGGGAUCGAGCUGACGGUCUGCCGCGAGGCGAGCUACCAUCUGUCCCAGCCCCUGCCUCUCGGUGCCCCCUUGAUGCUCUUAGCUGAGUGUCCCGCGGGGUCUGAAGCGUUUACUUUGAAAAAAAGUGUUCAAAGCAGGCCCGGUCGCCUGAAUACCGCAGCUAGGAAUAAUGGAAUAGGACUCCGGUUAUAUUUUUUGUGGGUUUUCUCUCUGAACUGGGGCCAUAAUUUAGAGGAAAGGCCGGGGGCAUUCGUAUUGUGCCGCUAGAGGCGAAAUUCUUGGACCGGCGCAAGACAGAUGAAAGCAAAAGCAUUUGCCAAGAAUGUUUUCAUUAAUCAAGAAAGAAAGUCGAAGGUUAGAAGGCGAUCAGAUUCCGUGGUAGUUUGACCAUAAACGAUGCCAACGAGUGAUCCGGCGGCGUUAUUCCCAUGACCUGCCAGGCAGCGUCCGGGAAACCAAAGUCUUUGGGUUCCG